GUUUAAACACAGCUGUCGAUGCACCAGCUAGUUCACACCACCAACGCUCACCGACAGAGACCCACACUCAGUUCUUAGGAGUGGUGGUGAAGAAUUUUAGCAUGCGCAUCCUUACCAAUGACUCCACUGCAAGGGAUAAGAGUUUAGUCAGUCUGCCCCUCGACUUGGUCAAAGCUCCUCAGUGAUGAGUAGAAACCUGAGAAGUUUGGAACAAGUAAAGGGUCCCUGACUUCAUCUGAAGAAGUUGUCUCACUGUACUGUCCACUCACUGCAUUAGGUAGCUAUACUACAACAACACAAACCAGAAGUAAUGUUCUCUGAUCAAAGCGUAGAUAAAACUCAAUGGUAUUUUCCCCUGAUCAAGUAUAACAACUGACAAUAUUGGGAUUGUACGAUGGUCAAAUAAUUGUGUAACUACAAAUCAAUAGUUCUGGGAUCUGAUGAAGUUUGACCUGAAUAAUGUGAAGGGUUCAUUUUAACAGAAGAGUAAAUUGAUUGUUAAGACUAGAGAUACUACAAUUCACCAGAAUUAAAUGUAACUGGUUACAUUAUUAAACACAUAACAAUUAUGUUCACCAAUAAAAAGUCUGGCAAAAACAAAUGAAGCCAAAGGUUUAUUUUAACUUACAAAAAAAUCGGAUGCAGACACCAAUUAUUCGAUUAAAUCAUAAACUCAUAAAAUAGGCUACAUCAAGAUCAGACAAUGAGAGUGAAGUAACAAAUCAAUGUGCUAUCGGAAGACAUGGAUAUGAGUUGGCAUAGCAACAGCUAUUUCUCUCCAAGAAGGACCUUUCCUCAUGUCUGUACCACACACAGGUAGUUAGCGGUUUACAAUUAGCACAUCCUACAGGAUAACAAAGGAACGAAUGUCAACAACAAAAGUAACAAAGAAUGGUAAAGAGAAAGUUCUGCCGAACGGAAUGCAACA